UACAGAGGGUGCGAGCGUUGUCCGGAAUCACUGGGCGUAAAGGGCGCGUAGGCGGCUCGGUCAGCGUGCGGUGAAAGCCCGGGGCUCAACCCCGGGUCGGCCGUGCGAACUGCUGGGCUGGAGCACUGUAGAGGCAGGUGGAAUUCCGGGUGUAGCGGUGGAAUGCGUAGAGAUCCGGAAGAACACCGGUGGCGAAGGCGGCCUGCUGGGCAGUGAGCUGACGCUGAUGGCGCGACAGCGUGGGGAGCAAACAGG
rnacentral:rRNA from 1 species